UACGUGAGGGGCGAACGUUGUUCGGUGUCAUUGGGCGUAAAGAGCUCGUAGGCGGUGUGUCGCGUCGGCCGUGAAAACCUGCAGCUUAACUGUGGGCUUGCGGUCGAUACGGGCAUCACUGGAGUUCGGCAGGGGAGACUGGAAUUCCUGGUGUAGCGGUGAAAUGCGCAGAUAUCAGGAGGAACACCGGUGGCGAAGGCGGGUCUCUGGGCCGAUACUGACGCUGAGGAGCGAAAGCGUGGGGAGCGAACAGG
rnacentral:rRNA from 1 species